UACGGGGGGUGCGAGCGUUGUCCGGAAUCACUGGGCGUAAAGGGCGCGUAGGUGGCGUGAUAAGGGUGUGGUGAAAGCCCGGGGCUCAACCCCGGGUCUGCCAUGCCGACUGUCAGGCUAGAGUACUGUAGGGGCAGGCGGAAUUCCGGGUGUAGCGGUGGAAUGCGUAGAUAUCUGGAGGAACACCGGUGGCGAAGGCGGCGUUCUGGACUGCAACUGACACUGAAGAACGAAAGCCAGGGGAGCAAACGGG
rnacentral:rRNA from 1 species